rnacentral:rRNA from 1 species
GAUGAACGCUGGCGGCGUGCCUAAUACAUGCAAGUCGAGCGAACAGACGAGGAGCUUGCUCCUCUGACGUUAGCGGCGGACGGGUGAGUAACACGUGGAUAACCUACCUAUAAGACUGGGAUAACUUCGGGAAACCGGAGCUAAUACCGGAUAAUAUAUUGAACCGCAUGGUUCAAUAGUGAAAGACGGUUUUGCUUUCACUUAUAGAUGGAUCCGCGCCGCUUUAGCUAGUUGGUAAGGUAACGGCUUACCAAGGCGACGAUGCGUAGCCGACCUGAGAGGGUGAUCGGCCACACUGGAACUGAGACACGGUCCAGACUCCUACGGGAGGCAGCAGUAGGGAAUCUUCCGCAAUGGGCGAAAGCCUGACGGAGCAACGCCGCGUGAGUGAUGAAGGUCUUCGGAUCGUAAAACUCUGUUAUUAGGGAAGAACAAAUGUGUAAGUAACUAUGCACGUCUUGACGGUACCUAAUCAGAAAGCCACGGCUAACUACGUG